UUUCCGUAGGUGAACCUGCGGAAGGAUCAUUAUUGGAUUUUGAAACUUCAGGCUGCUGCUGGCUCUCCUCGGAGGGCAUGUGCACGCCUGUUGUCCAUUAUUUCUCCCACUGUGCACAAAUUGUAGACCUUUCAGUAGGCCUAUGUUGUUUUUCACAAUCUCUGAAUGUAAUAGAAUGGUUUUGAAUCUUGGGAAAUACAAUACAACUUUCAGCAACGGAUCUCUUGGCUCUC
rnacentral:misc_RNA from 1 species